GAAAUAACCACCAGUAGUGACUCCAGAGGAGCUGGCCGUCUGCAGAGGCUGGAAUGUCUUGACUACAGCUGCUGACCUGUUGCUGUACACUGCCGGUCCCCCGUGAUGUCAGCCCCAGGUGGUCUUGCUUCUUCUCCAGCUCCUGAAGAAGGUGUCAGUCUCUGAGCAGCCUGAGGAGACCAAACCCCAGGGAUGUUAACUUCCUUGUAUAAAACGAUGGAUCCACAAUGAGCCAUGUAAUUUCCCUCGUGCAUUUUCUGAGCCAGUGGUGGAUCAGAGAGCUAGAAGAGGCUUCAGAAGAUGCAUGAGUGGCGUCUCUUUCUUCCAACAGGGCUGCCUCUCUUAGCAAGGGGCAACUUCAGAUGGAAGGCUGCCUCCUGGCUGAAAGUGGGGAAAAGAGAAAUAAUCCGAAUACUUGGAAUUCCAAAAGUUGUGCUGUGCCAGGGAAACACAUACGAUAGAGCGUGCUGAAGUCAGUUCUCACCUUCCACCACGUGGGGUCCUGGGGACCAAACUCAGGUCAUCAGGCGUGGUGGUAAGCGUCUUCACCUGAUGACCCAUCUUGCUGGCCCCCAAGAAACGGGUUAAAACAAUACUGUUUCCUAGCACUCGAAGAGACUUUAUUGUUGAUUUUAUGGUUCCUGGCAGUCAUCCAGGUUGGGUUUCCCUCCCUUCAUUAAACCCCUCUCACACACACAAUGGUGUGUCUCCUAGGUGAUUCUAAAUUCUGUCAAGUUGGCAGGAUCAACCUUUGCGCCAUCUCU
rnacentral:lncRNA from 1 species